rnacentral:rRNA from 1 species
AAGGAUCAUUGUCGAGUCCCUCUUUGUGAGA